UACGUAGGGACCAAGCGUUGUUCGGAUUUACUGGGCGUAAAGGGCGCGUAGGCGGCAAUUCAAGUCAUCUGUGAAAUCUCCGGGCUUAACUCGGAACGGUCAGAUGAUACUGCUUUGCUCGAGUGCGGAAGGGGCAAUCGGAAUUCUUGGUGUAGCGGUGAAAUGCGUAGAUAUCAAGAGGAACACCGGUGGCGAAGGCGGCCAACUGGACGAAUACUGACGCUGAGACUCGAAAGCGUGGGGAGCAAACAGG
rnacentral:rRNA from 1 species